UACAAAGUCUUGGUGUUAAUUUGGUUGCCAACAGGUCGGGGCCUGAACAGCUCCAGGAGCUCCAGGCUAUAAAUAACCCCACAAACAGCGCCCCCUGGAGUUGUGUCACGGCUGCCUACACGUGUUUAUUCAGAUGAUCAUCUCAUUCUCAUCGAUGGGGCAGAGGAAUCCUUUUUGCUUCAACAAAUGUUUUCUGCUUUGUGAAAGUAACAUGAGCACAUGGAGAAACAUUGAGACAGGGCUCAUGAUAUGCGGUCCAAUCUUCUCUCGUGAUGCUGGGCAGGGCAGUGAGCCAUAGCUCCCAGUCGGCCCCACAGUCACCAGGGAGAACUGCUGAUACACUGACAGGCGUUCUGGACCCAGACAACCAUCCUGUUCUUCCCUGUCAGCACGGUGUCAAUAGAUGACGCUGCACUGCAUGGCCUGUGGGAUCUGACCAGGGACUGAAUCCUGGCCACUUGGAGGGGAUUCCCUUCAGUGCACCUUUCACUUAACAUUUUCAACUUACAAUGCGUUCACUGGGACGUAACCUUAUUGUAAGUUGGGGAAGAUCUGCGUUGAUUGACCUCAUUCUUGUUAACAAAGGCUCUAGCACCUCUCAUUGCAUCGCUGGGCCAUCACUGAUCCAGUUCUUAGGACAGACCCCUGAAAUUCUUGUAUAAAUGAAAAGAGUUCAUGCCUCAGGACAGUUUGAAAAUUCCUGACAAGUACAAGAAAUCCCAAGUUGUCUCUCUGUUUAUAAUUUAUAUCUUGUUCUUUGAGAAACGGGAUUUGUGGCAGCUUACAACAGGAGGGGCAGACCCAGUAAAACUGUAAAACUGUUAAGACAGAGGUGAAAUACCAGGAAAGGAUUGGAGUCGAGAUGCCUGCUCCUCCUGGCUUAGGAAGCCUGGAUUAUAUUUGAGCUCGAAGCUUUAUUUGAUUCAUAUUUGCAGAUGAUGCAGAAAUCUUUGUGGAUGUUUAUUUUCCUCAAGAAGGAGGUUGAAGGCAGAAGGCCUCUGAGAAGCUGGAAAAAAUGCCAAUCAGAGUAACAGAAAAGUGUUUCCUACCCUUACAAUUGCCAAAUCUUGAAGUAAAUGAAUUAUAAUUAACUAUUUUUCUUUAACUUACAUAAUUUUGUAAAAACCUUAAACAUGGUUGUUUCAUCUGGAGAAAAAAUACCCAUGAAUUCAUGGUUCUGAUGAAUUAGUAAUGUGUGUGCUUUUUCAAAUGUGUGUAAAUACGUAAUAAAUACUAAAAAGUUUUUGAAAGCACAACUUUAUCCACAUACCACCUACAAUAAUCUUGAAAACCAAUAGAGGUGCUUGUGCUAAACAUUUGAAAAUGCUGGGGUGUCAGACACCGGUGGUUACCAUGUCUAUUGCCAUUUCUUCCUUCCUUUCCACUGAUGGAACCCUGUAUUUGUUCUGCUGGUCAUGUACCCAGGCCUAGGAAAUAAACCACAUUUGAUUUAAAGCAAUUAUCGCCCUCCUAUUCUCCUGGACACAUGAUUGGUCUAGAGGUAGUCAUUUGACCCAGUUCUGGCCAAAGGGAAACUCUGCUGGGGGCUUCUGGGAAAGGAUUUCCUCUCUGAUAAGAAAGAGGCAUAUGAGGAGAGAUCUGUUUGCCUCUUUUCUUCCUUUCCUGAUUUGGAUGUAAUUGUGUGAAGAGGUGAUGAGUGAGCUGUGGCAACCAUCUUGUGACAUUGGGUGAACAGCCUAAGGACAAGUUGCUGAUUUGCAGUUGAAGGCAAGGAGCAUUGGUCCUUUAUGAUCACCCUGA